UCUGCAACUCGACUACAUGAAGCUGGAAUCGCUAGUAAUCGCGGAUCAGAACGCCGCGGUGAAUACGUUCCCGGGUCUUGUACACACCGCCCGUCACACCAUGGGAGUCGGAAAUGCCCGAAGCCGGUGACCCAACCAAAAGGAGGGAGCCGUCGAAGGCAGGUCUGAUAACUGGGGUGAAGUCGUAACAAGGUAGC
rnacentral:rRNA from 1 species